rnacentral:rRNA from 1 species
UACGUAGGCAGCGAGCGUUGUUCGGAGUUACUGGGCGUAAAGGGUGUGUAGGCGGUUGUUUAAGUUUGGUGUGAAAUCUCCCCGGCUCAACUGGGAGGGUGCGCCGAAUACUGAAUGACUAGAGUGCGGGAGAGGAAAGUGGAAUUCCUGGUGUAGCGGUGAAAUGCGUAGAUAUCGUAAGGAGACCAGUGGCGAAGGCGGGUCUCCUGGACAGUUCCU